UAGGGAAUCUUCCGCAAUGGGCGAAAGCCUGACGGAGCAACGCCGUGUGAAUGAAGACGGUCUUCGGAUUGUAAAGUUCUGUCAUUGGGGACGAAGUAGGGAGAGAGGGAAUGCUCUUCUAGAGACGGUACCCAAGGAGGAAGCCCCGGCUAACUACGUGCCAGCAGCCGCGGUAAUACGUAGGGGGCAAGCGUUGUCCGGAAUGACUGGGCGUAAAGCGCGCGCAGGCGGUCUUUUAAGUCUGAGGUGAAAGGCUGGGGCUCAACCCUGGCAUCGCCUUGGAAACGGGAAGACUUGAGGACUGGAGAGGCAAGGGGAAUUCCACGUGUAGCGGUGAAAUGCGUAGAGAUGUGGAGGAAUACCAGUGGCGAAGGCGCCUUGCUGGACAGUGCCUGACGCUGAGGCGCGAAGGCGUGGGGAGCAAACAGG
rnacentral:rRNA from 1 species